GACGAACGCUGGCGGCGUGCUUAACACAUGCAAGUCGAACGGAAAGGCCCUGCUUUUGUGGGGUGCUCGAGUGGCGAACGGGUGAGUAACACGUGAGUAACCUGCCCUUGACUUUGGGAUAACAUCAGGAAACUGGGGCUAAUACCGGAUAGGAGCUCCUGCUGCAUGGUGGGGGUUGGAAAGUUUCGGCGGUUGGGGAUGGACUCGCGGCUUAUCAGCGUGUUGGGGAGGUAGUGGCUUACCAAGGCUUUGACGGGUAGCCGGCCUGAGAGGUUGACCGGCCACAUUGGGACUGAGAGACGGCCCAGACUCCUACGGGAGGCAGCAGUGGGGAAUAUUGCACAAUGGGCGGAAGCCUGAUGCAGCAACGCCGCGUGCGGAAUGACGGCCUUCGGGUGGUAAACCGCUGUCGCCGGUGACGAAGCGUGAGUGACGGUAAUGGGUAAAGAAGCACCGGCUAACUACGUG
rnacentral:rRNA from 1 species